UACGAAGGGGGCUAGCGUUGUUCGGAAUUACUGGGCGUAAAGGGCGCGUAAGCGGUCCCUCAAGUCAGGCGUGAAAGCCCCGGGCUCAACCUGGGAACCGCGCUUGAGACUGAUGGGCUAGAGUUCGGGAGAGGAUGGUGGAAUUCCCAGUGUAGAGGUGAAAUUCGUAGAUAUUGGGAAGAACACCGAUGGCGAAGGCAGCCAUCUGGACCGACACUGACGCUGAGGCGCGAAAGCGUGGGGAGCAAACAGG
rnacentral:rRNA from 1 species